CUUUUUAUAUUAUUUAUAGAUGGAAAAUAUGGAUGAAAUAAUAAGGAUUCAAAAGGAUUCUAUCUCAAUAUCACAAUCAGAAGUCGAAAAUUUGCAGAAAACAUCGCAAGAAAAGAUUAAUCUGCAAGAGAAAACAAUUUUCCAGCACGAGCAAGAAAAAA